GGUGGAGCAGGGGUGAAGUGCUCAGCUGCUAACUGAGAGGUCGGUGGUUCGAAUCCACCAGCCACUC
rnacentral:tRNA from 1 species